rnacentral:sRNA from 1 species
GCCAGAUGUGGUGGCGCACAUCUGUAAUCCCAGCUGCUCUGGAGGCUGAGACAGGAAGAUCGUGAGUUCAAAGCCAGCCUCCGCAACAGCGAGGCACUAAGCAACUCACUGAGACCUUGUCUCUA